rnacentral:tRNA from 1 species
UACACUUAAGUAUAUGAUGUACAGGAAUUUUUGGUAUUCCAGGGGGCGGUUAAAUUCCGUCAAGUGUAA